rnacentral:rRNA from 1 species
AUUGAACGCUGGCGGCAUGCCUUACACAUGCAAGUCGAACGGUAACAGGUCUUCGGAUGCUGACGAGUGGCGAACGGGUGAGUAAUACAUCGGAACGUGCCUAGUAGUGGGGGAUAACUACUCGAAAGAGUGGCUAAUACCGCAUGAGAUCUACGGAUGAAAGCAGGGGAUCGCAAGACCUUGUGCUACUAGAGCGGCCGAUGGCAGAUUAGGUAGUUGGUGGGAUAAAAGCUUACCAAGCCGACGAUCUGUAGCUGGUCUGAGAGGACGAUCGGCCACACUGGGACUGAGACACGGCCCAGACUCCUACGGGAGGCAGCAGUGGGGAAUUUUGGACAAUGGGCGCAAGCCUGAUCCAGCAAUGCCGCGUGCAGAAUGAAGGCCUUCGGGUUGUAAGCUGCUUUUGUACGGAACGAAAAGCCCCGGGUUAAUACCCUGGGGUCAUGACGGUACCGUAAGAAUAAGCACCGGCUAACUACGUGCCAGCCGCCGCGGUAA